CCAGCUCCCUCAGUCAUUCCUCACAGGACUUGUGUUCCAAGCCCCUCACCAGCCUUGUUGCCCUUCUCUGCAUGAAUUCAAGCAUCUCAACAUCCUUCCUAAACUGACAGGCCCGUAACUGGACACAGCACUCGAGAUGCGGCCUCACCCGUGCAGAGUAUAAGGGAAGAAUGACCUCCCUGCUCCUGCUGGCCACACUGUUCCUGAUACACGCCAGGAUGCUGUUGGCCUUCUUGGCCACCAGGGCACACUGCUGGAUCACAUUCAGUCGGCUGUUGACCAGUACCCCCAGGUCCCCAAAAGCUAGUGUUUUUUCUAGCACUGAAAAAAAAGUACUUUUACAGGGCUGCUGGGCACCAAAAUGCACCAUGAGUUACACUGUGCCAAUGUACUAAAGCCUGGGUUCUGAAAAGCUGAUGGUAAAGUCUGCUUAGGGGCUGCUAUGGUCAUUGGAUCAACAGGAGUCAGCUUCAGCUACUGUGAGGUGCAAGGAGGGAGGAAGCAGAUCCACCUGGUGUACCAGCGUGUCCCCGUGAUUUUACUGCUCACAGUUUAUGAUCUUCUGAGAACAAGCAAAUGAAAAGCUCCCGCAUUUCUUCUUCAACAGAGCAGACCUGAAAGAGCACAGAGAGAGGCAGCAAGUACUGUAUCAAUCCAGAAAACUUGUUAUGGAAACAAAAAAUCAGUCCUCAUGUUUAGGAAGAAUGCAGAUGACAGAAAAAGUAACAGUUAAGGUUGGCAAAGGUGCAAGAGUUCUUCCUGAUGUGCUGCCAACACUGACUCAAGUUGUUUUCUGAAAGCAUUAUCCAUUUUAUGAAGCUUUUCUACAG